GGGCGGGGGCGGGGGUGGGGCUUUUCAGGCCGCUGGCACGGCGGCUGGAGGGACUAAAAUGGUGUUGGCCUCCGGCCCGAAGACAACUUCCUAAGGGAAUGUAGGGCCGCGACAGCCAGAGGGACUACCCUGUCCCUCUUGCGCCGGCACCGGCAGGAAGGUGGGGGAAGCUCGGAAGUUUCAAGAUCCCAAGGCCCCAGCACAACUAAGCACGCCACAGGACGGAACAGACAUUUGAGAGAACGCUGAAAGCGCGGGGAGGCGGGUUCGCCUCAGUAUCUAUCUCGCGACACUUGAAGUGACGUCGCACAACAAGCGUGCGUUCUAGGUUUUCACCUUCGCAAAACUGGUGAACAGCGGAUGAAGAUACGGAAUUCAGAGCUCUAAUGGACCUUUUUGAAGAGAAGUUGUAGCUUAUGUGGAGUUUACAUGGGCCUCUGAUGGAAGAAAGCUAAUCUGUUUAGUAUUUGUGCAUUUUACUAAAAUGGCAGCUUAACGUUGUGUAUCUGCUAUUGUGAUGCCAAUGCCGGUGUUUUAAGUGGAAAAAAAAUGACCUCUUUGCUUUGUGCUGUGUACACAAGAUUUCUGGAAAAGUAAAGAAAAACCCUUUUUAUGGCUCACACAGCUUAAAAGUAGCUGUCACUCAAACAUGCGCUCACAGUUGAGCUGCUUUUGUUUUAUUCUAAAUAAAUUGUUUCUUUUGAGGAAAAUGUUUUUCUGCCUGGAAGUGAAUUGACGGCAAACCUUGACCCCUUUGUUUGCAGCCGAGGGGGUACUUGCUGCUGCUCAGAUCUUGUAUGUCUUGAGCAAGAAGCAGGGAGACCAUCAAUUUCAUGUUGACUAUCACGGUGUGUCAAUUCUGAAGGAUCACUAGUGUUACCGUGGCCCCCUUUGUUUGCAGUGAAGGGGAUCCUUUGCUUCUCGGUCCUCAACGUGAUGAGGAAAUGGUGCUGUUGGCUGGCACACAAGAAGCCGGGGGCAAGCACCCUAAGCCUCACCACAGUGCACGAGUCGGGGGCUUUGCUGGUUUGAAGAGCUGGAGUUGCUGAAUUUAAGUUUUGAUUUAUUUUGUUCACCCAUCACGUUUGGCCUUAGUUUCAUUUUUAAUUUGAAGAGAAGUUUGAAAUUGCUUUAUCUUGCACUUUUAACAUUUGCACCAAAUUGCCAAAAGAAGGAGAAAUACUCCGUUUGCUUUUUAAAUGUUAAUGAUGAUGUUAAUAAAGCCUUUCCUGACACAUUUGAGGAGCUCUUCCGUCUCCAGGGGCUUCUUACCAGAGUUAUGCAGUGAUGGGUUUAGUUCUGAAUGGAUGAAGAGUUCCUGAGAGCUAGCGUUUGUAAUUAGAACCGUUACUUGGUAUCUGUACCUUAUUUGACCUGUGUUUCCACAUGCCUUGGAUGUGCAUGCACCGUGACGGUUUCAUAGGUACGAACGCACACCCAGGCCCAGUCACUUCGGUUGGUAGUACAGAUUGUGAGGAAAAAAAAAUGGAGGCAUCAUUAAGGAGGAGAAAGUGUUUGCCUUUAGUUCCUGCAUUAUCCUGUACAGGGGCUCUUGAGCUUUGGAAGCCUGUUCCCAGUACAGGAGAACAACUCCCCUGUUGGCAGCAGACUUCGGUGCACAGUGACAACGCUGGAGUUCAAGAGGAAGCCAGCAGUGCUGCACCAGUGGCUUCAGACACCAUGGUUGUUGUUUGCCAGUUUUAAACUAAACUAGUUGCAGACGAAGACCACCUUGAAAUGCAGGCUUGUUGGGCUUGUUUUGAAUUUUAACCUCGGAUGGAAGACCCUAGUGCUGUCUGUCUCCAUGUGGGAAUGAUGAUUGCUAGGCAACAGGUGAUUAUCAACCAAGGAUGCCACGGUUAUACUCUGCAAGGUGGUGUUCCAGUGGCAAACAGCUGUAUAAACUUGUAAACAGGAACUACUGACAAUCAAAAACCUAUAGCCGACUUUGGGAUCUGGCUUUAUUAUGCAGCAACUAAAAGAUGAGUUCUAAUUGGCAGUCUACUGGCAUUUGUUCUCCUAUUUCUAUAGAAACUGGGUUGGAGGUCAGAGCUGCACAAAGGGAAAGGGUAAGUUUCUUUUAAUUCCAUAUUUCUAAACCCAUAUCUUAUUAACAGUGGCAUGGUGUUAGUUUCCACAUAUGGAUAUACAUCAGUGAGCUAGAACUCAAAUAUGAACUGAUUAUCACUCGAGUGGAAACUGACAUCAAGUCAUUAAAUAUAAUAGGGUUUAAAUAUGGAUUUAUUUUUCUUGUGACUCUGACUUCAAAUUAACUCAAUAUAAUUCUCACUUUCAGUUAUUUUUAAUUUGGGGGUCAUGAAAUUGAUUUUUAUCUAGAUCUUUUCUACUGUACAUUUUUGGUAAGUGAAAAUUAGAAUAUAAAAUGUAUGCAGAGGACAUUUUAAAAGUCUGAGUGGGUUAUAAGUUCCUUUGUAGCAGUGAUUCUUGUUUCCAUUAUGAAACAGGUACUGUACUACUGCUCAGUUUUUUAGGCUCGCCUUUUUCUUAGCCAAUCAGGAUGAGUUCGGCUGUUGGGGUACUUACAUUUUUUGUUAUCCAGCCAGACAUCAUUAUUUGUAGAACCUAAGACACUGGCCAAUUGGUGAGUCUUCCUCUUGCUAUGACUUCAGAGAGCUGUACUGUAGUAGCAUUUAGGCUUGAAAUUAUUUUGUAGUAAGCAAACUGGUUUACAGGUGGUAUAUGUCAGCAACUCUUACUGGCUUUGAGAUGUGAGAAGACAGACAUUCUAGUUCUUGCUCUUUAAAAGCCACUUUUAUCUUGGUCCUGACUUAAAAGGCUAAAAUUCUCUUUUCCCUCCUAAAAGAACAUUAGUUGAUUGACACAUAGCAAACAGUGGGACAUCUUGGCUUUGUGUCCUCUCCAAUCUGACUUGCAAAGUAGCAUAAGAAGUAAAAGUUGGAAGUUUGUCAGUGGAAAAAGUGAACUCAUUUUUUAAAAUUUUAUUUCAUAAGCCUUAGUUCAUAAAAUAGAUUCUCAUUAAAAGUAUCCUGUGCCUUCCUCAUUAGUUUCUAUUAUGCUAGCCAGAGCUUUCAUGAAGUAAAAGAAUCAAAAUUCGUGAGGCUUUUUGUUUGUUUUUCUUUUGUGCUUUCUGCUAUUAAGUAUCCAAACAGGUUCUCUGCUCGUGAAGAGUAAAUAACCUGUUCUGGUUUUAAAACCCAAAGUCCUGGAUCUCAGGAAUUUCUUUAUUACUGGCCAGAACCAGGUAGUUGGUCAUCCUAUUAGUUAUUUUCUGCAUCCUUGAAAAGGUUGUUAUUGAUCAUUUUAAAUUAAAGGAGAUUUCACGAUGUAUUAGAUUCUGUUGGAAAAUACUAGGGAUUAGGUCCUUUUUAAGAAAUUAGGGGCUGGGGAUUUAGCUCAGCGGCAUAAGCGCCUGCCUUGCAAACAGGCAGUCGUGAGUUCGAUCCGUGGUACCGAUAAAAAAACGAAAAAGACAAAAACAAAACAAAACAAAACAAAAAGUAAUGACUUGUCUAAUUUGUUCCAGUGAUCCUGGGUAAUGCCAAUUUAUUGCUCAUUGAAAUAAAAUAAAAGAAUUUUAUACUGAUUUUAGAAGCUGAUUCUAAGCACUCUAGUUUUCAUUUAUGUAUAUGUUAAGAUUAUAGAUGAUAAAUAGGGUGAUUUUAUAGUUUAGGUAAGUUUUAUUUACUCAGCAGCUUAUUUUUUGCUACAUAUCACAUAUAUUUAUGUAUCUAGAACAUUUGAAAAAUGUUACAAAUUAUUUCAGUCUAUGUAAGUCUAAUUGUUGCUUUAAAUAAAUUUAUAGUAAGAGCAUCAUAAUAGAAGAAAAGCCAGGGAGCAUGAUGUAAUCAGCAUCAAUAAUUAGAUUUAAUUUUUUGUGGGUUUUUUUUUUUUUUUUUGGUGUGCUGGGGAUUAGAACAAAGAGCUUAAGCUAUACCCCCAACUCAUUAAUUAGGUUUUAGAAUUGGCUUUGAUAAGAGCUUUGUAACCAUAGGCAAAUAACUUGAUAUUAAGUUGUUUUUGUUCCUUAUGUAUAAAAUAGUAAUCAUGAUACUUGUCCAAACUUCUUCACAGAAUUGACAUCGUAAAUGAGGUUAUAGAUGGGAAAGAACUUUAAAAAUUUGAAAGUAUUAUAAAGGAGAAUUUUAAUGAGAAUUCAUUUUCACCAUAUAUAGAAAAGUUUAUGAUAGUGUGGCAUUUUCUCAGAGCAGCAAGAAAUGAUAUUGUAACCAAUUUUAAAUAUAAUCAAAAAGUAACUGGCCAGGGAUAUACCUGAGUAGCACAGCACCUGUCUGGCAAGUGUGAAGCUGAAAGUUUGAUUCUGGGUAAACACACACACACACACACACACACACACACACACACAAAAGUAUCUUACAAGAAAAUAGAUUGACAUUUAUGUUCAAAUUGUCAUAGCUUUAUUAGAUAAUUUUUUUUAAUUUUGAAGCUUAUAAUUUAUAAACAUUCCAACUAUUUAUUAAAAAAUUACAAGUGUUUGAUCAGGUUCAAUGAGUAUUAGAAGACCUAAGAAAACUGAUUAUUUAGCAAGAACAUUGUUGUACCAUAGCAGAUAUGAUCUGUGGUUUUUAUAGAGGAGUUGGUAGUUAGGUACUUUGUAGUAUUCUUUUUAUUGCAAUCUAGAAAUUAAAAUUAUAGGCAAAUUUGAGUUACAAAUUUAUUAUAAUUGCUUUAAAUUAGUUUCUUAAUUCAUUGUUACUGCUAAGAAGCCAGUGUAAUGGAGGGGAAGUUCAGAGUUACAUGUUAAUCUGUAUUUGAAUUGUGACACCAUUUACUGAGUAUUUUUUUGACUUUAUCUACUUGUAAAAUGAACAUCAUAGUAUCUUUCUGAUGUUUAUUUUGAAGAUUAAUGUUAUAUCUAAGGCAAGGAGAAAUUGAGGAGAGUAUUAGUAAAACAUUGUUUUAUUUUCCUUUUUGACAUAGAAAACAGAAGAAAGAAAAAGCAGUAGAUGCUCUACUCUGCAUGUAGGAUAUUUUGCUUGAUACAAACAUAUUUUUGUUGGGGCCGAGGAUUUAGCUCAGCAGCAUAAGCACGUGUCUGGCAAGUGUGAGGUCAUGAGUUCGAUCCUUGGUACCACAAAACAAACAAACCAAAAACAUAUUUUUGUGUAAUCCUUACAGUACAUCUGUGGAGUUGUUUGGUAAUAAUAUCCUAGAGGAGGAGGAAAUUGGGAAUCCAAGAAGCUGAGUAGCUUUUAUAAGGUCAAAUGAUAAUGAGUGGCAGAGCUAAGAUUUAUCACUAAUCAGCUACUUUUGCUGUUUGUAUGAGGGAUAGUAUUUUUGUUUUUCAUUCAUAUUUUCUUUCAAGUAAAAUAUGAAAAACAUAUUAGACAUUUACACUUAAAUAAGACUACCUACUGUUUUGAGAUAAUAGAUUUUCAACCCAGCUUAGUUUGGUUUCAAAGCAUGGGAAAUACAAAAAUGAAUAAAAUGUCACCUAACAAGAUUAUAGACAAGGACAAGGUAAAGAACAAGGUCGACAUGUGAGAUCAAUUAGAGUCCUCUGUAAAAGUUAGAUGGGUUAAAAGUUAGAUGGGUUAGAUGGGAUUCUAGAUCCUGGGGAAGGUUUGCCAAAGGAGUGAACUUUUUGAGUCAAAUUAUAAAUGAUCAAGUGAGAGUGUCUCUGAUAGAAAAAGACAGUUUAGUGGGAUUGCAGCAGGUGGCAAAGCUUAGACAAAGGUAUACACUGCUAGAAGGAAAGGUAUGGAAACUUUGAGCUAAACUGAAGCUUUCAGUUUAGGAUUUUUCUUAACAGGGAAUCAGUGGAUUUAAAAGGCCGAAAGCAAUGGAAGGAUGGAAUAAUAUGAUAAUAAUUUAAGAAGCAUUCUGAAGGAGGCUUUAAGACAGGUUGAUGUUGGAGAAACUUUUUUUCUUUCUUCAUAAGGAUCACCCAAAUAAUAAAGGGCUGUUUAUUCACAUUUACUUGCAUAUUCUAAGUAAUAUCACAGUUAUAUAUAAACAUCUUUUAAUUUAAAUAUAUUUCCCAUUAGAACCACUUAUUCAACUUAUGUAUGAAACUUAUUGUUCUUAAGAAACUUCUAGAUAUUUAAUAUAAAUAUUUUUGAUACUCAAAUGUAGUGAAAAGGUAAUCUUAUUUAGAUAGAUCAAUAGCAAAAUUAUUUAGGAGUGCCAUUAAGAUGUUAAAGGUUUUGUGGGUUUUUUAAAGAAAUAAUUUUUAUAUUUUGUUUCAUAGCAAUACAUGUUUAUCAUAGAACUUUAGAAACAAGGCAAUAAAAAAUUAGUUUUUAUCAGUAAACAAAGAUGAACUUUUGGGGAGGUGUAUAGCAUUCCAGUCACUAAGCAAAGUUAGAGUAUUCAUUCAGAUUCCAAAAUUCAAAUCAGUCAAUGGCUUUAUUUAAUAUUUCUGUAAGUUAAAAAAAAUUCUUCAAUUUAGUGAUUGAAUUACCCAGGCACAAUUCAGUUUGGACUAAUUUAUUAUAGUAUACUUUGCUUUUUAUUUAAUAUCGAAGGUAGUUGUUUUAAUUAAUUUGCCAUUACUGUAGGAUGGAUAUUCCUCAGAAUGCUAAAACAAGGAAAAACAUAAAAACUAUCUGGUUUACCUUCUCAUUUUAUAAACAAGGAAUCUUCUAAUCUUCUGUUUCUGAAAACUUAAUAAUUUAGAUGUUCUUUUGUUAAACUUUCACUUGAUUGUAGUCCUCUUUCCUUCUGGAAACUUCUCUUUGCCAUCUCUCAACCAGUGGUACAAAGAAAAAGGAAAGCGAAGAAAGGAGAUAGCAUGUUCCAGAGAAGUAGAAAGAACCAGUGUAUGUCUCUGUAUAAUCAUAUAACCAACCUGGAAGAGAGGAAGGAUUUCUAUUAGUGAAGCAAAUCUUCCCAUUAGUAAUUUUCAACCAUUAGCUCUAUCUUAAAGGAAGGGGUCUCCUGUACUUAUUAAUGUGUAUUAUGACUCAUUAGAAACUUAGACUUUUUACAUGCCUUUGUCUUGACAAAAUUAGUUUCAUCUAAAACAGUUGUAAAAAUUAUUGUGGACUCAGAAUUCAUUUCAUCUUGUAAUGGAUGUUAGAGGAAAUUAGGGACACAUACUUUUUCAUUUAAUGAUGAAUCUUACUAGAAAACUACAAUUCUUACAAAGAAAAUAACACUGAAUUUUACUACUCUUGCCUGAAGGAAAAAAAUAAGAGGUCAAAUUACCCUUUUUCCUUUACUAAGCAAAAUUCAAGUACUUACUAUGUCCCUGGCAAUGUGCUUUGUUAGGAUAGUAUUGAGCCAAAACAGGCAUGAUCCUUGCCUUACGGAGCUUAGUUUAACAGGGAGGUAGGUAUUAACCAUAUAAAGUACAUAUAUGUGGAGUGCCUUGAAGAGAAUGCUUAGAGGUCAUGAGAUCAUAUGAGAAGAGAUGAUUUGAUGAAGUGGGUUAAAUAAGUUCUUCCUGAAAUCUCAGCACUUUUUUUGGCAGUACUGAAGAUUGAACAUAGGGUCUCUCCAAUGAUAAGCAAGUAUUGUAUCACUGAGCUACAUUUCCAGCUAAGUGCUUUUUAAAGGAGGAGUUAAAGAAACCUCAAAAUCUUUUGGCUAAUGGUACAAGUAGAACUUAACGUGAACCCUCCAUACAUACAUAGUAGAGAUUUCGUCUAGGACCUUUGCACUGAGCUACAUGGAUAUUAUAUGUUGUUAAGUAUAAGGCCCUGGGUUCAACCCCCAGUACUGGGGGGGAGAAAUUAGUGUUGUAGGCCAGCACAUUUCUAGCUUCUGAGGAUAUACCUAUGAACAGAAGGAAUUACCUGCCUUUGUGGUACUUACUUUAUGCCUUUUUAUUUUCCUUUUCUUUUUCCUUAGAUCAUAGUGACUCAUUAGAUACACAACUUGUUUCCUCCUGCCAUCCCUUUUUGGUGUGGCUUCUUUGUUCUCUUGCUUGGUCCUGGUGCAGACAUUGAACUUUUAAAAAUGUUUGUUUGUGGUUUGGGGUGUUUUGUUGUUGUUGCUGUACAUGUGUAUUUGUUGAGGAUAGAAUACAAAGCCUGACACAUAUGAAGCACAUAUUUCUACCACUGAGCUACAUUCCCAGCCUCUUUCUAUUGUUUCACUUAAAUUGCUUUAUGUUUCCUGUUCUUAAUGUAAUAAAUGAAUGGAAUGCUUUAUAGCCUCUUAAACUGAACUAAGUUGCUUUUUGCUUAUUGAUUUCUGUUUGUGCAUUAAAUGUUUUUUGGAAAGAAGCAAGAGAGUGGAGUGAAACCAAUUAGCAUAAGGGUUUUAUUAUGUUGAUUGUGUUUGACCUGUUACUCUCUAAAAAAUGGAAUCAGUCUGAACUUUCCCAGCAAUUUCAAGAAAGGUGAGUGAGAGAGGGUGCAAUUUUGUCUAAGUCCCAUGAACACAAUAGAUUUACUGUGAAUUUUAAGGUAGGGAUAUGAGAAAUGUCAGGAAGACAAACCUGAAAAUAGCUGAAGAGAAACUUCUUAUAAUUCUUUCGUCACACAGACACACACACACACAGACAUACACACACAAUCCUAUUUUUUUCAAAUCUAUUUUAUACAUAGAUAAAAAGAAAGAAAAAGAAAAAAACUACAAAAAUUUCAGAGCACAUCAAUCAGGAGGCAACAGUAAUACAUACAUUGUGCACUGUUAUCCAUAAAUCAUUCACCUGAGCAUAAGACAUCUGCAUUGAAUUGCCUGAACAAUACCAGUACAAAUCUUUCUCUUUAGCCAACUCAGAGAAAUCAGUAGUAUAACUAUCUUAACUCAUUUUUUAAAUACAUAUAUGUACAAAGGUACAUGUUUUUCUUUCAGGUUGUCACACUAAUGAAACAAUAUGUUUACAUGUGUGUCUUACUUAUUCACUAAUGAAUAUGUUCUCAAAGUGCAUCCAUUUACUUAUAAGUGUCCAGUUUAUCAUUCUUUAUGGCUGGGUAGUACUCCAUUGUAUAAAAAAUACCACAUCUUUUUUAUCCAUUCCUCAGUCGAUGGGCAUUUAGGUUGUUUCCAAGAUCUAGCUAUUAUAAAUUGUGUUGCUGUAAACAUGGGUGCACAGUGCUAUAAUGUUUUUAAUUCUUUUGGGAAAAUACCUGAAUAGCUGGGUUGAAUGGGACCUCCAAUCCUAGUUUUUUGAGGAAUCUCCACACUGAUUUCCACAGUAGUUGCACCAAUCUGCAUUCCUACUAACAGUGGAGGAGGGUUCCUUUUCCCCCACAUCCCCUCAGCAUUUGUUAUUGGUUGAUUUCUUGAUACUAGCUAUUCUUUCUAGGGUGAGGUGAAAUCUCAAGUGUCGUUUUAAUUUCUAUCUCUCGAAUGACCAGUCUCACACACAAUCUUAAAAAGAGAAUGUAGAUUUUGAAACAUUAAAUUUAAGCUGGGCAUCAUGCUCCCAGCUUAUCUGGGCGUCUCAUGCUCCCAUGCCUGUAAUCCUAGCACUUGGGAGGCUGGAGUAGGAGGAUUUAGAGUUCAAGGACACUUGAACUAGACUAUUUAGAGAACUUGUCUCAAAACAAAAAUACAUGUUUAAUGCAUAUUCUUUUAGGAUGGGGAAUCAGUGUAUUUUAUAGCUAUUUUCACUUUUCAUAUAUAAUUGAAACAAUUGGUUUUAAAUCUUGUUUCUCCCAUUCAUACUUGAUAAUUGUAUCACGGAAUUUUUUUGGCUUUUUUUUUCUUUUUUUUUUUUUUUGUACCAGGGAUCAAACUCAUGAUUUUAAAUUUGCCAAGCAGGUGCUUACACAACUGAGUUAAAUCUCCAGCUCUGAGGCAUUAGAAUUUUUAAGCUUCUAAUUAAGGUCCAUUUGUUAUUGGGUAGGAAAAUAAUGUGCUAUUGGGUAGUUUUACAAUAACAAAUAUGAGAUGAAAUGCAGAAUGCAGAAUGAAUGUUGUUAUAGAUAAUCUUAUGGAAGUAUAGGUUGAGCAUCCUUAACCCAAAAUCUGAAAUUUUUUGAGCACUCACAUGAUGACAUGAGUGGAAAAUUCCACACUAUGAAACUUCUAUUUCAUGCACAAGAUUAUUUAAAAUAUUAUACAAAAUUAUCUUCAAGCUAUAUAGAAGGUAUGCAUGAAAUGUAAAUAAACUUCAUGUUUAGACUUAGGUCUCUCCCAUCCCCAAGAUAUCAUAUAUAUGCAAAUAUUUUGAGACUACCCCAAUAUAUACCAUAGAAAACUUUUAUCUCAACCAUUUUGAAUGAGUUACUAAAGUUGUAUUAGCUGUACUAAUCAAGCUUAGAUUUAAAUGAUUUGAGCUUCACUGGUCUUUAAUUAUCUGCUGUAUUAAGUUGGACUAGUCUUCAUUGGCCCCAAAAGUAAAACAUGGUGUUUAUUCUGAUUUGAUUAUAUCUUUGUACUACUUUUUUGUAUCAGUCUAAAAAGGCUACAUAUGUGUAGAUUUUCAACCCUUUGCAGUUGAAUGUUUCUAAGGAAAUAUUUUAAAAAGAAAUUAGAAACUCUAUCCUACAGUUUUAAAUAGAAUUAUACACAUAUAUGGACAUUCCGACUGGAUUCCUGUGUAGUUCAGGAGAAGUAUCACAAAUGUCAGAGAAUAUACCAGCCACAGUUUAGGAUAAUAUGCACGUGAGUGUUUACUCCAUGCUAAGUAUUACUAUAUGAAGACAGCAUUUUGAAGAGGUGCAGAUUAAAGUAAAGGCCUCUAAGCAUUUCCAGUGUCUCUAGAUAUUACAGCAUCAGAUUCGUCUGAGAUGCAUAUUAGUCCAAAUUAUUUCUUCAUAUGUAUGGUCGUCACCCUUGUUUUGGGCAAGAAUGUCUAACAGCGUUUCAUGUGAUCAUUUACAACAGGAUUAAGUUGAGCUCCUUUUUUGUUUUUGAUGUUUUUGAGACAUAUGCUUGAACUUGUGAUCCUCUUCCCUCCGCCUUCCACAUGCUAGCCUUACAGGCAUGUGCUACCAUGCCCAGCUGGGUUGAGUUUCUUUAAACAGUUUCACAAACCAGAUUUCUUAAAACCAACAAAAAAGUUUAUAAAUUUGAUAGGAAAUAUAAGAUUAUAAAUUCAUUUUUAAAAAUGUCAUUAUUUAAAAAUCAUUCUACGUUAUCUUAUUGAAUUAAGCCAUACAUAUAUAAAAAGGAAUUUAACAUCUUGUUUAAUAAAUAUUUUUACCACCAAGUAAGAACGUGGUUAUGAGCUGAACUAUGAAUUCUUUUUAUUAGGUUUACUAUUGUAUGUUUACUGUCAUCUUUUUAAAAUUUGAAAUAUAUUUAUAAGGUCUUUAAACUCCCAAGGUCCUUGAUAAUUCAAGUAAAUGGUUGAGAAUUCUGUGACUGGCUAGUUUAAGUGAGAACUUCUAGCUGUUGGGCUCUAGCAUAGUGGCAAACUUUCAGCAUGUGCUAGGACAAUGAUCUUUUGUCCCAGAGUCACUAAAACCACUUGUUGGCUAAAAACUUUGUCCUUUUACUUUGGAUGUGUUGUACAAAUAUUUUCUAAAUAUACCAUGAUAGGAACAAUCUUGGGAAACAUGGUUGAGCAAAUUUAAACCUCAAGGUCUUUUAAGACAGGUACUCACUAAAGGCCCACAGUAGAUAUGUGUAGCAAGAUUUUCUGGGAGUGCUUGAAGCAUUGGUUGUGACUAAGUUUUACUGAAAGGACUAUAGUCUUUAUAUUAGCAUUUGGAAACUCCUGCAUUUAUGAAGCGUGUUAUAUUUAAGAAGGGCCAACUCUCACAUCCCUUUUAAACCACAACAGGGAUAUAUUUUGAAUUAUUUUUGAUGCUUUUGUGGAUUUCAUCAAUCCUAGGAAUUGUGAGCCAUAGUUAGUGGAAUUCUGUGUGUCUUUGUUUAUGGGAAGAAUCACCAGAUGUUAAAUGGUUGAAAUAUUUUCUUUUGUCUCUUCACUAUGUAUCAUACUGUUCAGAAUUUAUGGAGGACAAAGAACUUUCUGUGCCUUCUCACCUGUCUUCCAUUCCCACCCCACUCCAAAAUGUGUGUGUGUGCGUGCGCGUGCACAUAUGUAUUAAGGUUGAGUUUUGUUUCUUCAAAUAAAAUUUUAGGCUAUACAGAAAUUCUUAAUUGAUAAGCUAAUAUGAUAAAAUUGUAGUGGUUAUGUUUGGUAAAUUGUAGAGCAAGGAACAGAUUGUAUUUGAAAUGGAGAUGGAGUAGAGAUACAGACUAACAUUAUUUCAUGAAAUGAUAGCUUAUCUCUGUUAAAGGGACUCAGACAAGCUUAGAUAGAUGAAGUUUUUUUAUCCAUUGUUUUUUCCUAGGAAAAAAUGGUGCAAAAUGACCAGUUUUACUGCAUGUCAUGCCUGAUGAGAUAUGAGAUUGGCAAGUAACAGCAUGAAAGAUACAUACUUAGUUAAGAGGUAGUUAACUUUAUUCUGGAGUGCAGCCACUGAAAUAUAUUCAAGUUUAGGAGUAGUUCUUCUAGAGUUUGUUGUGGGGGGAAAAAUCACUUUUAUGAAAUAAUUGUUUGAUUAAAACUUGUAUAUAUUUUAAGGUUGUUUUUGUCAUCUUACAGCUCCCAGUGUCUUCAAUUAAAGGUAAGGAAAUGGAUAAACACAUUAUUGUGUUAUUGCUUAAUGAAGUUUUCAGUUAAUAAAAGAAUGCUGAUUCCAAUAGUUAUUAGUUUUGAAAUUUUAGACUUUUGUCCCAGUCAGUGUGUUUGUCAGACUGACAGUGCCACAACUCAGAGAGCCCUGGAUGAAUUUCGAGAGAGUAACUUUUUUUUCUUUUCUGUUUCAUGUAACAUCUUGUAGAGUGCUUUGGUAAUUACUGAAUGAACUGUGGAAAUAAUUACUUAAGGUUUCAAAGAUUUGUGAUUGAUUUAAAUACGUGUAUGACAGUGUGUAUGUGUAUAUGUAAUAUAUACAUGUUAGUUUUGAAUAGGGAAGGGAAAAUACAUUUAACUUUAUUUUAUAGGCAGAUAAUAUGGCCGUUGGUUUUAUUUUUAAGUGAAACUGAGGCUUGACAUUUGAGGUAAGAUGUUGGCUAUCUUGGAUACCUGAUGAGGAUUUCAUAGAAGUAGCUUACAUCUCAUUUGUGUGUUAGAAAGUAUGGUUACAUUCUUGCUGGACUGGAGAUUUAGCUCAGUGGCACAAGUGCAUGCCUUGCAAGCACACGGUCGUGAGUUUGAUCCCUGGUACCAAUAAAAAAAAUGAUUACAUGCUUGCUUUUCUAUUCAAGGCACUAUAAUAUUUUUUGGUAGAUACCAUUUUGUUUCUGCUGUGACCAGAGACUGAAGCUCUGACUGUAGACCAUGGCAUGCUGCUUUGUACAAUUAGAGGAUUAAUGAAUAAUUAUUGGCUGAACUAUCUCAAGGCACUACAGUCUUAAUAAACUUUCUACAGGUUUACUUUAUUCUCCCACAGUUUUGCAAGGCUUGCAUCUUAGUGUAUCGACUUUUUUGUUUUGUUUUUCUUUUUGAGACAGGGUCUUAAUGCAAUUCAGGUUGGCCUUGAACUCAUUUCGUAGUCCAGCUGGCCUCAAACUUGCAGUGAUCCUCCUGCCUCAGCCUCUUGAGUGCUGUAAUUAUAGGCAUGUGCCAUCCAUCACACCUGACAUUAGUGUAUAGUUUUGAAUGUUUUCUACAGGAAAACAACAGCAGUUCAGUUUGGAUGGGCAAUGGCAUUUUUCCUAGACACAGACCUACCAACCAUGUUUUGUCAGAGAUUCUGAAUAGCCCUGAAACUGACCUAGUCUAAAUCUGGCCAUAGCACUAGCUAAAAUUGAAUUUGUUACUAAACACUAGAAAGGUCUAAGAGUGAGUAUGGGUUGGAGUGGGCAAGGGUGAUAUGUAAUAGAGAAGUAUGCGUAGGGAGGGUGAAUUCUUACUUUCAUCUGUUUAAUCCCUGUCAGUUUCAUCAAAGAUGUGAUUAACAAAUUUUGUUUUACUGUGUUUUUUUGUCAUAUUCAUAAUUAAGAAAAGUGUAUUUUUUUUUUUUUUUUGCUUAUAUAUUCUGUUUUUGUAGUUUUUAAAAAUAAAAAUAAGUACCCAGACGGCUAAGGCAGGGGGAUCACAAGAGGACUGAAAAAAAAAAGAAACAAAAAAGGUUACUCCUGUUGCUACCUACCUGCAAUUCUAGGACUUGGAGGCUGAGGCAGCGGGAUCAUAAAUUCAGCCUAAAUUCACUAAUUUAGCAACUUAGUGACACCCUGUCUCAAACUACAAAAAAAAAAAAAAAGACUGGGGAUAUAGCUAAGUAUGAGCACUCUGAGCUCAGUCUGUGCUGCAGUUUGGGGGAGCUGUGAUUUCUAUGCUUUUUUCUUGAAUUCUUAAAACAAUGUUAUAUAGAACUAAUUUCUUUUUUUUUCCCCAUACAGGAAGGAGAAAAAUACUAUUCAUGUAAUCAGUGUUAUCAUUCUUAACUAGUGUUUUGAAUGAGGAUUUACUGUUUAUCAGAUUUCUAAUUUAAAAUGGCUGUAAUCUUUUAUAGGAAUUUCAACGUUUGCAAAUUGGUAAUAACAAAUAGGUAAGUAAAAUCUCAUACAGUUUUGAAGAACUAAGUUGAGUUGGAAAUUCAAUGUUUUAUCACCAGUAGGCCUUUGAUUUAACAGGUAAAUACAAUAUAUAACUGCCCACAUCUCUUGAGAAAUGAGUUAAUAUGUAUGUAAAUCAACAUUUUUAAUGUUUUUUUGAUAGUUGUUGCUAGAGUCAGAAUUUGGAGACAAACCUAAAAAAAUUUAUAAAUAUAUCAUUUGCAAAGUCCUCUUUUUUUCACAGUAAAAUGACUUGUAAGGGUGGACUCUAAAAUUUUUCUCUUCAACAAGAUGCUUAGUGACUUAACUUUAUAGUGAGAGAUUCCAGAAUAAAGAGGGAAAUGCAACUGAAUUAUGUAUUAUUUGAAUCUUGUUUGAGAUACUAUGAGCAACACCCAGACUAGGAAAUCUAUAGAUAAACCUUCAGAACUUUUAGAACUUGUGAUUUUCAGAAAGAGUAGAUAUAAAUAUUAAUCAUGAACUGUUUUCUAGACUUUAGAUAAUGAAAGACUUAGAAACAUUUUUCCUGACAGAAAAUGUUUUAUAUUACAUAGGUAUGUAUAUGCAUGAAAUAAAAGUUGCAUAAUAAAGUGAUAUACUACUGUGGCUUUCUUUUUUAAAUAUAUAUACUGUUGUGUUUUCUAAUCUUUGUUGUAGUCCAUCCAUUAAAAAAAAAAUAAAAAAAGAUUAUGGCCCAACAAAUUGGUUUUAAGAUCCACAUAUACACCUCUAGCUAUUUCUUUUCAGUUAGCCAUCCUCCCAAAACUUGACUUAUCGCCUGAUAUAAUGAACUCUUUUAACAUUUUUACAUGUGUGCAACAGCAUAUAUGACACUAGACAUUCUGUAAUUUUGUUACUUGCUUUUGAAUAAGAUGUUUUGUGCCUUAGUAUUUGUUAUGUCACUGUACUUUUGACUUAAUGGGUAUUCACAGUUCCAAGGCACCACUGGGACAACCAGUUAAGUUUCCGUAGCAUCAACCAAAAAAAAAAAAAAAAAAAAAGAUUAAGAUUGAAAAAAACAUAUGUACAUAUUGCAUAACUAUUUGAGUUGUUUUUGGUAUCUUACUGACUGAGAGAUCCCAGACAACGCUUAAAGGCAAUUCUGGUAUGUAUCUUCCCUUUACCAAUCACUAAACAACAAUUUUGGACUUGAUUUUUAAAAUGCUAGCCUGUUGUAUAGGUGCAAAGAGUAAGCUGAGAGACAACAUGGGGAAGGGUGUGUUCACACAGAUGCCCAUAAGGUAGUCAGUUGUGUAUUUGUGUAAUUUUCUCCCUAGAAUAUAUUUUAACUGAAUCUCAAAUCCUAGUGAAUAUUUUUCUCCUGGUAAUACAUCUUUGUAUCCUAAGUUUAUAUUCUUUUCAAUAUUUGUCUUUUCUAAAUCUUAAAAGGUAUAAAUUUAACAUCAUGAUGAAAUUUACUUUUUAAAAAAUGAUAGUGGGGCAAGAUCAGAUCCCUUUUGUAUCUCAUGCCAGAGCUGAAAACAGCAAAAGUGAAUUGUAGGCUAAAGUCCUUUUUGUGAAUGAUUACAAAUGUUGUAAUAAUUUGUACAUUCAAAUAUAUUGAAAACCUUUGGUUCAUAAGAAACUAACAUCUAAGCCUGAAAUAUCUAGAUGAGUAGUCAGGUUUUUAGUAGUCUUAAGACUCAAUGUAUAGCAAGCACAAAAUAAUCAGUUAGGUAAAAGACAAAUCUAAAACUGUACUUCAGUCUUCAGGUUAAAUAAUCAGAAUUCCACGAAGAGUUACUGUACAUACAUACAUACAUACAUAACUUCUCCAUAGAGAUUCUCCCUUUAGGCCAAGUGGUCCACGCUUGGUAUAGUUAGAAUAUGAAGGUUCCCCCUCACUCUGAAAAGAAAAGAUCCUGGAUAGCCCUGGACAGGCUCUGGCACAUCAGAGAACAAAAGUAUCAGGCUGGUGGCCUUGAAGCUCAGUAAAAGUGACUCAUAUUUAGAUAAAAUACACUAGUGGUGGUUCUUUUUUUUAAGCAUCAUAUGGUCCUUUGAGACUGAUGAAACUGGAUUAUCUCCCCAAAUAAGUAGAUAUGUUUUUGGUCCUGUCAGAUUCCCUAGAGAAAGUAGGAAUCUUCUUAGGGUACAUCUUUUGAAUUAAACUAUAGAUUUUCCUGUAUUGAUGAUAAAGAAGAGCACACAGGAAAGCUAGAAAUACGUUACUGUUAACCCUGGGUCAGUUUUAUUACUAUUGAAAUUUGCUCAGAGUGUGGCUCAGUUGUUACCUGCUAUAGGAGGUCCAGAAAGCACAGCCAUCCCAGCAAAGAAACCAGCAAGUCCCAAAAACCUGUGUACUCCACAAUUCUUAGACAGAUCUACCUGUAGGGAUUUAAAUUCAAUGUUAGCCAUUUUAAGACUGAAGUUCUAUAAAUGUCUAUGACUAUAAAGGAACAAAUACUGUUACAUCAUCUCAAACUGACCACCUGACUUCAGAGAGAAUUUGGAUGCCCCUUUGCUCCCAGAGUUAUGAAACAGCAGAGGUCAAAUAGGGAACAAUAACUUGGCUGCGCAAGGCAGUGUUUUCAGGUAUAUUAGUGGUAGAAGAACACUGGUUUUUGGUUUUAGUUUAAAAAACCUUUUUAUGUGGUUUAGGAAUGUUCCCCCACCCUGAAUUUCACUGAUUUUCUCAAUUAGGAAAUAUUAUUUUACAUUCUCAAUCUGAGUGGACAGUGAUUCUCCUGCAUCUACCUGUGGUCAAUUACCUACCAUGCGUUUGUAAGAACUCAUAUAGCAUAAAGUUGAUUUUGGCUUUAGGAAGCUGGUUUUGCCUAAGUGUUCGGUAGUGUCCUGGUCAGUAACAGGCUAGAAAUGUCCAAGGGAUUUUGUUCUAACACAUUGAGUUCCUAGUUCUGCAAGCCCAAGGGAGUCCAAGAACACAGAAGUGUUUUCAUAAAUAUUUCAAUUUAUUUUAGGUUAACUGAGGAUAAAAAUGAAGAGAUUAAAAACAAACACUAAUGUCCCUAUUAAAGUACAUAGGCCUACUGUUAAUAACCUCAACAAUAAAGAAGCUAUACUGGUUUACUGUUUUUUUCAAAAUUGGGUCUUGGAGCCAAAGAGUUCUGGAGAGAGUGAGCAUAAGCUUAAUGUUUUAGGGAACUGAUAGGCAAAAUGGAAUCCUGCUGAUCCCUGUUAGAAUUUAAUUCCUUUCUGUGCCAUGUGGCUGGCUCUCUCAUCCUUCUCCUUAAGGUAAGAUGAAUAAUUGGAUAGAUUACAACUAGCUAUAGGAUUUCUGAGACCUUUGGUAUAUUUUUGUAAAAUUUUAAAAGUAAUAUAAAGUAAGUAUUCUCUUUUGGGGAGAUGGUUACUAACAGUAAAUGGUUUAACAGUAUUAAUGAAUGUCUACUUACCAGUACAGGAAGUAUCAAUGCCAGGUAACCACCAGCAAAAACAGCAAAGAAGAUGGUAUAGGUCAUAAGUAGUGAAAAUGUAGUAGCUAAGGGAGCAAGCAAGUUAGUGAUGCCACAGAAGAUGAGGUAAGACUUGUGGUACUGAUGCUUCCUGAUCCAGUUUUGAUCAGCAACCCAUCCAGAAAUAAGCUGACUGACUGUCUCAACGAUACCUGAAAUAAUAUAGAAAAAAUUUCAGGAAAUCCUGAUUCCAUUUUCCUAACCUCUUUUAAAAAGUGAGACUUCAUAGACAUCUUUCCCCAAGUAAUAUGACUUCAUUCUGAGGUGAAGAUAUGAGAGGGGGAAAAAAAUGUUUUCAUUUGUGUACUAAAAUAGCACUCAGCAUUUACUUACUGUAGUACAUUCAGUAAAGUAACCAAAAAGGCAAGGCUUCUCCAGAAUUAAGUGAGAAACAAUCCACUCAGAGAGAGAGAGAGUGAGAGAGUGUUUGGAAAGCUAAUAACUAACACUCCACAGAGAAUUCCUGAUUACAGGGUCCCCUAGGCUUAGGAGGCCUUGCUGACCUUUAUACUUUCAGAUAGAUUUCUAAAGGACUAGUAGACUCUUGGAGACAUUGUUCUCAGGAAGUCAAAUGCUGGAAGAUUGGAGAAUAAUAAAAAUCUUAAAAAAGAAUUGGAAUUCUUUUUGUUUUGCUGUUUGAGACAGGGUCUCACUAUAGUUCAGGCUGACUAUGAACUCACUGUGUAGUCCAAGCUGGCCUGAAACUCUUGGCAGUCCUACUGCUUCAGCCUGCAGAGUAGUGGGAUCAGAGGUAUGCCCCACCAUGCCCAAGUGGAACUAUUAACUGCUUAUGACGCUGGGAAUUAAGGCCUCCAAAGGUCAUUAUGGUUAAUUUGAAAACAGGAAGUCUAGACAUAGGAGAUCAUACUGAAACAUUGGAGCUAUGGUACAAUGAAUGAAAGUUAAGAACCACAUUAUUAUUUUUCCUUUUUUUAGGUUUCACGAUAAGAGCCUUGUUAACCCAUUAUCCUGUUAUAACCUGACAUAGCAGUUAAACAUGGAGACAUUUUCACCAGGAAUAGCAUGAGCUCCAGUUUUGUACUUCAUAUUCUUCCUGGAGUUCAAACAUAAACUGUGUCAUUAAAAGAAGAAAUGGAAAAAGGAUACUAUCAUUUUUACUUUCACAGUUAUUUUCUAGGAUAUACAGUAUAUUAGGAAUGUAUGGAUUUUUUGGCCCCAUUAUAUAGUCUGUUCUAAAUUGAUUCACAUAAUGCAUUGAAAAAAUAGUACUUGGGCACGUAUUUUUCCCUUAAGAUACAUACCAUUAUUUGACUGAACUAGAGGAUCUUUUUGUUGUUAAAGGGAGAAAGGUUUAUUUACUCACAAUAGAGCAUCUUCUUAAUUGGAAUGUUGCAUUCAAUUUGGUAAAGACUUGGUAAAUUAACUUUUCUCCAAGAAAUAUUAAGGGGAAAAUUACUGUUGAACUCUUGAGAAUUUCUGGAUAAUUAGAACAAGCCCGUUUCAUCUUGUUUCUUUUUCAUUCUUUUGGGGGUGGGGACAGUCUCCCUGUGUAAUUUGGGCUGGUCUUGAACUCACAGCAGUUCUCUUACCUCAGCCUCUGAGGCUCUUUUAUUCCUGUUUUGUCAUCUGAAAGAAUCUUGAACUUCUUGAUAAAGUAUUUAAGCAUUUUUAUGAAUAUAUUCAACUAAAAUGGCUUUCAUUUUUAAUUCACAUUUUGAGUUAUUUUAAAUACUAGCUAAUAUGAUUAGCCUUGAGUCAUACUUGUUUUACUGUUAUUUCAAGGGGAAAUAUACUUAACUACAAAUACUACUCUAAACUACAUGUAUUAUAGUUUUCAUCCUGACCCUUACAAGGAUAGGUACUGUUAUAUGUAUAUCACAGAUGAGGACAUUGAGGCACAGUGAAAGCAAAAGACUUUCCCAAGUUCACAUAGCUAGGAAAAAUAGCAACCUGAAUCUGGGAAGACAAGCUCCAAGUACUAAUCCUUUCAACUUUUGUACUACACUGUCCAGCUGGGACUUUUUAUUUUUUGAGUAGCUGCUGCCACUGAGUACCAGCUUUUUAAAAUUCAGUAUCAACAAUACUGAUGUCUACUGUGUUGAGUGCAUGACAAUGAGUGCUUCGUUGAGGAUCCCUUCUCUAGUGGAAUUGGUGUGCAAAGUAUAAUGGCAGAUCUGUGCAGAGCCCUGGUGCUCCAUCUAGUGUCCCAAAAUGUUGCUUUCCCUAGCCUUCCCACAACUUUUUUUUCCCCUUCCCACAACUUUACCUCACUCCCCAACCCCCUUCGGUAUUAAGGAUCUAACAACCUCACACUUACCAAGCACAGACUCACCAGCCCUCCCUCCCUCAAUUCUUGUUGCUGCUUUUCAACUUAACAUUUAGUAAACUUUUAUAAAAUUAAAUUCAUUUCCUUCUAGGUAGGAUGUUGUAGGUUUCUUACCAGCCACAGAAACAAGGUAGGAGGCAUCCAUGAUGUCAAUACGCAGUGUUUUGGCUCUGGCAACGAGGUGAAAAGUAGGAAUGAAAUACGCCAACUGACUUAGGAGAAAAGACCAGGUAAAUAUCCAGAAGAAAGGAUUCCUUAAGAGAGAAAGGUCAAAGAGUUUUUGUUUGCAGCUCCAUGAAAUAGCCUUUUGCUUACAAUUUUCUUCAUUACUCAAUAACAGUCUGUUCCUGUGAGGCCCAUUGUUGAACUCUUCACUUUGAUUUUGUGAAACUGUAAAAGUUUUAUCAGGUUGUCCAGCUUUCUGCAUAAUACCAUCCUUGAUGAAAAACUCUUGUGUCUCAUUACAGGAUGAUGUUUCUGUCCCACACAGUGCCUCUGGGCCACUUGCAGACAAACUGCUAACUUUAAUAUCAAAAUUGUUCUCAUUUUUGACAUGGAUAGGUCUUAAGAGCAUACUGGAAGGCACCAAAUUCAAUGCAAUAGCUCCAAAUAGUAUAAGGGCACCUAAAUAGGAGAGAAAUUAGGAAAUUAUAAAGAACCUUUCCAUUCAUAAUACCUUGCCCUCAUAGUCUUAGAAGAGACCGCGUUACAUGUAGCAAUAAUUCUUGAAAACACUAUUUUGCCUCCCAUUUAAAGUAAAAACAUUUAAGUCUUGUCACUGCUAUAUUCAUGUCCUUUGAAGACAGAAAACCACAAAGCUAUGCCAAUAGAUGAGAGAGAAGGAGAGGUGUUUAUUUUUGCUGAAUGAAACAAAUACAAUAGAUAUUUCUUGAGGAGUGGAUAGUUUUUAAACAAGAACUUUAAAUAUUCCAAAGUGACGGUUUAGGUUUAUAUAUAGUUUAAUGACUCGAAUUAUUUAGAAACAACCUUAGAAAAAGGAACAGUUUCAUACUAUGACAUUUAAAACUUUUUCUUUGAAGGAAUAUAGAUGCUAGUCUUGCUGUUGAGUUGCUUAAUUUCAGUACAUCUUACCAAAGCUUACCAAAGCUGUUACUUGUUUAUGGUGCUUAUAAAAAAAUGAAUGUUAGGUUCCAUUGUAGUUUGUUGGUCCCAUUCAGCUUGAGACUACUGGAUAGAUUUACUUGGGAAAGAAUAUUUGGGAGGACCAGGGGUUUAGCUCAGUGGCACAAGCACCUGCAUGGCAAACAUGAAGUUGUGAGUUUGAUCCUCAAUACAAAAAAGAAAAAAAAUGCUGUGGAUAGAAAUAGGCAUAUGACUGGGAAUAUAGCUCAGUGGCAUAUCGCCUGCCUUGCAAGGGCAAGGUCUUGAAUUUGAGUCUCAAUACAAACAAUAUGCAUAUGACUACACAUACAUAUAUUUACAUAUGUGUGGUUUUCAUUAAUUUGAAGAUUAUGUAAACUUGUUUUCAGAUACAAAGAUUAUGGCAUGAGUGACUUGUGAAAAUUCAUAAUUGAUAUUAAUAGAACCCUUUCUACCUAAGUUUUUUUGGUGAUUUCAUCUUUUUUUUGGUGGGAGAAGGGUUUUUUAAAAUGCAGAUAAUUUUUAAAAAACAUGAACAGUGAGCCAGAAAUGUAAUCCAUGCUCUUGGCAGGAUGAGGCAGGAAGAUGCCUACAAGUUUGAGGCCAACCUGAGUUACAUAGUUCUGAACUACAUAGCGAGACCCUGUCUGAAUAAAAACCAGAAAACAUUAAAAGUGAAUUUCUCGGUGAGAAGGAGGAGAGGCUUCUUUCUCCAGGGGUUAACACCACAGCAAGGAUGUUUAUAUAAACACAGUGGUCUCCAUCUCACUCUGAUGAACUCUUGAGUUCCUAGUGUGAACUGGUAAAUCCUGUAUGUCCUUCAGGAUUUCUCUUGUGAUGUAAUUUCCAAGGAAAAGGAACAUAUUUAGAUAGCAUGCUCAUUUCCUAACACAAUACCUUUUAAGUUUUUAUUUUGCCAUUGCAAUAUCUUUUGAAACUGAUUGCUCUGAAAAUCUUCAUUUCUAGUCAAUAAGGGAGAGCUGCAUGUUAAGUCUUGAAGAGCUGGUAGUUUACAAAUUUAGAUGAACUCACCUGUCCAGUCAUAAACAUCUAUCAGGAAUUUUGUAAAUGGGGCCAAUAGAAAUGUCAGUCCCAUCCCAGUACGGGCAAUAGCAGUUGCAAGAGCCAAUCGUUUUUUGAAGUAUUUGGUAGUUACCACAGCAGCUACUUGGUAUAAGAACGCAGAACCCAAACCUAAAAGAAAAACAAUAGUUUUGGAUUAUUUUUACAUUAAAUGGUUUGGUAACAGAUGAGAUACUCUGUAUCUGAGAUAACUAGGCCUUUUGGACCCACAGGCAGUUGAAAGUUCUGUUUCAUCUUUCAUACUCUAUUUAUAAAGUACUUACCAGGUAAAAGUCCCAUAGUCACACAAAGAAAGGGAAUGCUUGUGGCCCAGCUGCUGAUCAGAUAGCCCCCUGCAACAAGUAAUGUCCCAAGAAUGGAGGUAGCUUUCUCUCCAAGCAUUUCACAAAUAACAGCAGCCAGGGGACCUGAGGGAGAAGAAAGAAAGGCAGCUGCAAGGUAGGUGUCCUUUGGCAUCCUUUAAUCUCUGAUGUGUGAUUUAAAUAAAUGACUAAAGGAAAAUAAGAGGACUUCACUGUGUAUGUGUAUCUUUCAAAAACGUGUUUUUACUGGGUUUCUUGUUAUUGGACACAAUAUUUUGCUUUUUUAGAGAGUUAAAAACAUCAAAAGGUCAUAAGAUGGUUUGGAGGGAAAUACUGAAAAUAUAGAAACUAAAAAAUGAGAUUGUACUAGUGCUUUUGAUUAGUACAAAGUCAGAUUACUAAUCACUACCAUACCAUAGUGUCAACUAAAACUAGUAGAAGGAAAAUUGGUUUUGUUCUGUUUUGAAUGUGAUUCAAUGAUUAGAACUUUCAGUGGUCUGACUUCCAGGUAGAUGGUCUGGCUUGUUGGACUUGUAGUAAGGCAUUACCAGACAAGUAAACUAUGAGCUGGGGAUGGUGCACACGUGUAAACCCAACACUCAAGAGUUCAAAGCUGAGGUGGGUCACCUUAAAUUCAAGGUCAGCUUGAAUACUUAGAUGCUGCUUUAAAAAAAAGAAAAUUUGAAUCAUGAAAUUAGCUAAGUACCUAAGCUUCCCUUGAAUCCUUAUUUUCCCAAUUUAGAUACCAAGUCAAACAGAAGAUGAGCAUUGUAAUUCCUUACUUUCUUGUCAUUAUAUGUUAGUGCAUAUUCAGAAAUAAACCUAUUAACAGUGUCCUUUGUGGACCUUCUCCAUGGACAGCAAGUUUAUUGCCAACUUUUACCUGCAGAAAAACGAAGCGAUGACAUGAUGGAUCCAAUCCAACCAAUUUGCUCAGAGGUACCUCCAAACUCUUCUUGAAAUACCACAAAAAAAAUGGCAAAAGUCUUGGUCAUCCCCAUCACAAACACAUUUACCUAAAUCAAAGUAGACCAAAGAGUCCAAUCAGAUGCUGAGCAAGUCUAGUACACAAGAGGCUACAGCUGCUAGAGGUUGUGUUGCUCCAGCUCACUACUAUAUACCAAUUUGCUUUAUUGAUGGUUCCUCAUUUGGUGGUGGUGGCAGGAUAUCCUUUUUGGAGUUGCUAAGCAUAUUACAUGAAAGUGACUCAUUCUCAUUUCGAUGGUUUAGAAUAGAUGGGUCAGUACUAAGUAUUGUGUGAGAGAACAGACGAAGUUUGGAAAGAAAGUAUUGUUUAAGAUAGGCUGAGACUUGUAUGCACAUGGAUUGACUUAAAAUAGCCCAUGGCUCCACUGGCUUGUUAUUGUAGCAUUUGUUAAGGUCAGCCCUUCCAGUUACCUAUAUGGGAGAAAGCCUUUGUCUUAAAAAGGAGAAAUUGUUAUCAGUUCUUUUUUUUUUUUUUUUUUUUCCUUUUUCCUUUUUCCUUUUUAUCGGUACCGGGGAUGGAACUCACGACUGCCUGCUUGCAAGGCAGGCGCUUAUGCCGCUGAGCUAAAUCCCCAGCCCCUGUUAUAAGUUCUUAGACUAGCUUUAAUUUAACUGCUCUUGAAAGCAGAUUAGUGACCAUGUAAUUUGUCAUCCAAAUUGGGAGGCUCUUGAGAACAUAAGAGAAUGCUUAGUUUUGCCAAAACAGCCAGGGUUAACCAGAUGUUUGGUAAUGUAGGUCCUAUGUUUCAUCCUUUUCUUCACUCUUUGUACUACUUAACCCUUGUUGCCUGCCUCUUGCACUCCUUUCCAUUUGAAGAAUUGUUCCUUUUCAGUUCAGUUUUCAUUCUGUGUAAUCUUAACUUCUAUUUCUCAGGAUUCUAAUAAGCCUGGCUAAUCCUCUUUUAUUUGACAGACACUUCCCUACAAGAUUGGGAGUGCGGAAGAUAAGGGAAGUCAGGACUCAAAGGGUAACAUGGCACUCUCAAUAUGCAGCCAACUUGUGUGCACUCUGUCUCCAGGUGUUCACCCUUUUUCUUGUUUUAUUAGCCUUGGCUUUUCAAGGCCACCUUCCCUACUUUUAACAGAGAAUGGCUAGGCAUUAAGUACCAUAAGACCCUGUGUUGCCUUUUACUGAUAGCCCCUGAUCUUCCCACAUGGUAUUUUCCCCUGUGGUUCUGUUCUCAUUUCACUUAAUGCUGUAUAGGCUUUGUGGAGAGCUGUUUUACUCCUAAGGUUUUAAUUAUCCCCCAAAUACUCAUUGAUGGCAUUCUUUCAAAUAUAGAUCUACUGUCAGCCAGACUUGGCUUGGUUUGCAACCUGGCUCAGCUUACCACUGUGUGACUUGGAUACCUUGAGCAAACUACUUCAUAGAAGUUCAUCUUUCUCUUUUGUGAAGUGAGGCUAAUGAAAAUGUUAACUAGCAAAUAGGUACUUGUAGAUUAAUAUAGAAAUUUCUGGGAAAGUAUGUAAUACUUGCCACUUAACUAAUUAAAUAUGAUUUUAUUGUGGUUUUGUUCCUCUCCAAGAGCUUGAACUCAUAAUUGUCUACCUUAUCUUUCUAGCCCUGACCAACUUAUCCAAACUUGAACUCAUCUUUGUCUUAUUCUAUAUGUUCUUUUUUCAGGUUUUUUGGGGGGUGAGGGGGGUGAGGUAGGGUAGGAGAAUUGGUUAUCCAUCACAGUCAGAAACAUUUCCUCUUAAGAUACCUCCUCUCAGCUCCUGUUUUCUAAAUAAUCAGCCAGGUCUUCCCCUUUUUUAUCACCAUCACUAGACUUAUUCCACACUAAUAUUAUUUCUUAUGUGUAGGCGAGGGACUAAGAAUCAGUGGUGGUGCUUAGAGGUUGCAAAAGUUGAAACAGGGAGAAAGGAAAUCUCUUAAAUAUAUUUUUUUAAUCUGAUUUUUAAAAAGUACAAAACUUUGCUUAUUUAGAAAGAACAUUGUUGUGGGCACCAGGACUUACAUAGUCAAAACUGAAAAAGAUACUUUAUCAAGCCCCCCCAUUCAGGUAAUUUAUGGCCAACUUUCCUCUAAAACCUAUCAAGAAAUGAAGCUAGAAAAUAUACACAAAUCUCAAAUGACCUAGACCUGUCUGUCAGUUUAAAAUAGACAAGUCUGUUGUUACUGCCUUAAUUAAGGGCCUUACUGUUGUCUCACAUGGAUUAUUACAGCAUUCCUCCAAAGGAUCUCCCUGCUUCAAGACAUAACCCUCACUAAUUCCUUAUCCACCAAUCAGCCAGAACACUCUCUGAAAUGCAAAUCAGGUCCUGUCACUUAUUCUCAACACAUCAUCUCAAGAUGUCUUAGAUGUUCUUAGCAUGUCACACAAGGCCCUUGAUUUUCCCCGUCUUAUUUAUUCAUAAAUAUGCCUAUCAUUUUGUCCAUCCACUAACAAGUAGUUACUGAGUGCCUGUGUUCCAGGCUGAACGUUGGGGCUGGGAGUGAUCAGGUAGCAAUGCACAUGUGGUCCUUGCCUUAAGGAAUGUUCAGUGCAACGAGGCAUACUAAACCCAGAAAAAUUAUGUAAAUACAUAGCAAUAAGUGGGAUAAGUUAGAAGUGUAACCCCACCUUCUUAAGUAGGAAGCCCCAAAACACCUUUAGUUAUUUCUCAUUUACUUUUUCAGAAGCUGAGGUAUUGAAAAAAUAUUCAUGACUUACACAGAAAUAGAAGCAUAGUUCUCUGUGAGGAACAUUACCACUAUAAGAAUUUGUCCCUAAAUUCAGUGUUAAAAUUUUUUUUUUUUGUCUUUUUCCUUUUUAUCGGUACUGGGGAUUGAACUCGCCUGCUUGCAAGGCAGGCGCUUAUGCCGCUGAGCUAAAUCCCCAGCCCCCCAGUGUUAAAAUCUUGAAAUUGUUUUGUAUGGUUUAAUAAAGGGGCAUCACACUCCAAAAAUGGACAUUAUUAAUCUAAUCACUAGAGAGUUUUUCUUAGCAACUAAAGUGAUCAAUAAGUUCUUAUUCACAGAUAGGAAAAGACUGAUUCCUAGGGAGACAGGAGAACAAGAGACCCUUGCUGAUAACUUUAGCUCUGCAAAGCAUUUAUGGGAGGUGGCCCAGGGAGGAAGGGCCCCCAGGCUUCAGGCAUCCUUAUUUCCCUAAGAGUAACAUUUCUUAGGGGAGUGGUGGAUAAGGAAGGGGAGGGUUAUGAAUUUACUGAUAAUAAGCUAAUGUUUAGCAAAUAGUGCUGUAUUACAUAAAUCUUGGCUGAGUUCUUCACCUGUCUUCUCCUUGUCUGUCUCUAGGGAGGAGGAAACUUAUUUUCCCACCUUUGAAUUUAGAGCUGUACAAUGUCAGUGGUGAUCAGGACCUAUAUCUUAUCAUUGUGGGCUACUUACCUCAGGGCUGAGCAAGGAAAGAGCAUCAGAGGGAAAAGGCUGUUUUUCUAAGUGCAUCUCAAAGUUAAAAGAACACAUUGGAACCACUUAAAAACUUUGGAGCUACUACCACUUGGCACAUGGUUGUUUGGGGACACAGCAGUGAUAGCAGUAUUCUGGAAUGGGCUUGUGAAUGAUGUACAUUACCACUAUCUCACACGUCAUCCCCAAGAGUCCAGAAGGAUGACGGAAGUUACAAAACAGGGAAAAUGGGCAUGGAAACACAUGCCUGUAAUCCCAGUACUCAGAGGCUGAAGGAGGAGGAUCUCUUUAGUCUAGCUAGAGAGUGAACUUCCCAUACCAUGGUUAGAUAGAUGUAGAUGACUGAGUUAGACACGUUUUAGCACUAGUUAAAAGUAUGAUUAUUCCUAAAUUCUAAUUGCCAUGCAGCCAGGACAGAGCUACUGAUCCUGACUAAGAGCAUUUUCCAGGUUUAAGAGAGUUUGAAGAAAAGUAAAGUACUGCAUUGGAGCUUUUUUGUUUACAAUCAAAGGGGACAUUUCAGCUUUCUCCUGGGCUCAACAUGGGCCUCUCCUGGCCCCUGCUCACUCAAAUAUCAGGAUUUCCCAAGUGAUGUUGCUAGGCUGCUGAACCUUUCUUUCUCUGUAGAGCUCAGGCAGUUGGAAGGGGAAGUACUUACCAGGAAAAAGUGAAACACAAUCAUCCAUCCCCAUCCUCCAUCUGGAGCUUGAUUAUAAGGUUGGGUCUUCCCUGCUGUCUUUGGCAUGAUGUUUUGUGUUCUAAUCACACAGAAGAUCCCUGUGGUGGAUUCAAGACAUAGCUGAAUCUGUUGUCAAGGAAUUGAUCUAAACUUUAAAACUUCCUUUUUCUCUGUGUUGUAAACCCACUUAUAAUUUUUCCCUACACCCCUAAUUAUAUUGAUGUCUCCCUGAAGCAACUAAAAAAUGAACUGCAGAGCAUGUUUGUGAAAUGGCCACAACACUAACAUUUAGGAUUCUGUCCUCAAAUCCCCAGAGCUUCAAGCCAGUUCUAGGGGAAAAUGUGUCUCAGCAAACUCUAGAGUGUAGAGAAAUAAAGGAGAAAAGCCUUGGGUUUAGCCUUUUACAAAGUUCUUGCUAAACUGUAGCUAUUCUAAAGAGCUGAAUAGAUAACAUGCAGUACCUGUUCCUUAAGUGGGUUCCAGAUUAGAAAAGAUGGGAAUGACAGUUGGGGAAACCCCGAAUAUCAACUAUAAGUGUGUGCUGUACUGAGAUUACGUGUCUUGAGUAGAAUGGUGUGGUCUUAUGGUUAUUAAGAAACUUCUUGUUUAGAAAUGCUGAGGUAUUCAGCAGUGAAGUGUCAGAAGUAUCUGCUACCUUCUCACUGUUAAGUAAAGUUAUCUACAUAUUCAUAUAUAUAUAUACAUAUAUAUGAAAUUGUAAAUGUUCUGAAAAAGGGGUGCAGCAUUCACUGUUUGCCACUGUCAGCUUGAAGGCAGGCAGUUUCUUUCUGGAAAGGAGAGUUAUCAGCCAGAAGUGAGGUGCAAUGGCUGUCCUCAAAGCAGGCUGGAAGCAGAGAUGCGGGUCGUUCCAGGCCUCAGAGAAAACAAACCCAACACAUCAUCCCUUUCUACCUUACCUUUGAUGUGGUUUUCAGCAAAGGAUCCUCAGGUACAGUCAGGGCAAUUUAAAAGCAAAAAUAAGUGAUAUUAUUUGUUAGAAUGUUAUUCUUUUUCUAAGGCAUUUCGUUCUGCUGCCCUGUGAAAACAAGUGAGCACUGUAGAGCCGCGGGCUGAGCUAGUUAGGUUAGGCCCUCCCGCUGCGGACUUUACUUCCCGAGGGAAAGAGGAAAGGCUGAAACUCGAGAACAUUUCAGGCCCGCCCCCACCACUCUUCCUAAAAAGGUACUUUUUUUUUUUUUUUUUUAAACCAUAGGGUCAAAAGUAAUUGUUAAGUAAGCCAUGAGGAAAAUCCUUUCUGUGUGUGUGAUCAAGACUGGGGGGAUGGGACCAGAAUUCCAAUACACGUAUCUCAAGUUCCUCAGGAUACUCUUAAGGCUUGCUUAUUUGUAAAACAGUUGCACUUUUCCGAAGCCCCACAAGUAAUGGAGCAUAGCUCAGUGGUAGACACGUGGCUUGCCUGUGUUCCGCCCUAGGUUUGAUUCACUAUGAUAGGCACACACAGGCGGCAAUUUUCUCUAAACUUGUGUGCUUUUUUCAUUGAAGAUUGUGUUUACUAAUGUGAAGCUUCUUUGCUUUAUUCAUACCUGCUUACCUUCAUGUCAAACACCUCCCACAAGAGUUGUAUAUAUUUAUCAGUAAUUCUUGAUAAAACUUUUUCUUAAUGGUUUUUGGAAAUGACUUAAGUUUGAGACUCAGACAAUUACCGGGAUAAUUCAACUUUUCUAUUCUCAUUUCCUCCUUCUGCCUCACCCUCCACAUACCAAAAAAAUAAAUGAACAUAAAGUCAACAUGAAAUUGUCUUUCAUCUCCCCAUACCGACAUUCCAGAUCUUAAACCAAAGUGUAUUUUAGGUCAAAGUGUUUUUCUUAUUUUAUCUGGAAAAUCUUCACGUUUAUGAAUGUUCCCUUUUAAAAUCAAGGGGUGUUUCAGCCUCUUAAAGCCAAAUUCUGUAAUCUUUAAUCAAUUUUUUUUAUUAAAGUGCUUGCAGAAGGACAGUUUAAUCAUUUAGGAGGAUGGUCUGUAAAGGUAAGCAAGAGAAGUAGUGCUGGUGUUAGAAAUCAAACAUUCAACAGAAGGGCAAAACUCAGAGGAAGAAAGAAAUGUUUUCUAGACAGCUCUUUUGAGGUUUUUGGCUUUUUUUUUCAAUCAGUACCAGGGAAUCAAACUCACAACCUCAGUCUUGCAAGGCAGGUGUUUAUGCCACUCAGUUAAAUCCCCAGCCCCUUUAAGCUCACUUUGUAGUCCAGGCUAGCCUCAAACUUGCAACAAUCCUCCUGCCUCAGCCUCCUGAGUGCUGGGAUUACAGGCAUGAGCCACCACACUGGCAGUUUUUGGCUUUUGAGUUUUUGAGACAGGGUCUAGCUACGCAGCUAGAGUUGGCCUGAAACUUACCAUGUAGCCCAGGGAGGACUUGAACUCUGGUCUGCCUGCCUGUGCCUCUGGAGUGCUGGGAUUACAGAUGUGCACUGUCAUACCUUCUCAGAUAGCCCUUUGUUAAUUACAUUUUUUUUUUUUUGAUACCAAGGAUCACUCAUGACCUUGUGCUUGCCAGGCAGACACUUAUGCUGCUGAGCUAAAUCCCCAGCUCUGAUUACACAUUUUAAAAUUAAACAUCUAUGGGAUUUUUGUAACUUUUUGGUGGCACACUUACUGUUGUUUUUUGAGUUAGGGUCUUGCUAUGUGGCCUAGGCCUAGCCCCUGGCUUGUUACUCUUUCUAAAAGUAGGGCUGUCUAAUCAUAAUGUAAAGCUGGAUGUGGUGUGCAUACCUGUAACCCUAGAUCUAAGGAGGCUGAGAGAGUAUCAUGCUAAGUACAAGUCCAGGCUUGGUUGCUACAAAGUGAAUUCAAGGCCAGCCUGAACUACAUAGCAAGAUCCUAUCUCAAAACAACAAAAAACAUAAAUGAACAAACAAAAACAUGACAUGAGGGUAGGUUUUAUAUACUGAUAGAUUUGAUGCCCAGAACUGGGGCUACAUUUGCAAAGUGGUAGAACAGAAAAGCAUGCAAGGUUUAAGAGGGCUGCAAAAUCUUUAAAGCUGAGUCUCUUCAAAUACUAUCUUCCAAAUAAUUAAACAGGGAACCUCAAGGUGUAGUGGAAAAAUGCAGAUCUGGUUAGAAUUGUGCAAUUUUUAAAGCUUGGAGACCCUUGUCAAACUACCUUGUCUGAGUCUGUUUCUGAAACUAAAAUAUGGCUAAUUCUAUUUUGCAAGGUUUCAAGGAUAACAAUACAUUGUAAGAUAACUCCAUAUUUAUAGUUCUGUUGGUACAUUCAUUAAAAAUUGUUAAUGAGAUGGGCCGUAAUAGCAAGAGCAAAAAAUUUUUAAACCAUUUUGGGAAUACUAGUUAACAUUUCAGCAUCUGGACCCAAUUGAAUUAAUAAGCUUAUUGGGCCUUUACACAUAAUUCCCUCAGUCUCUCACCUUCUAACUCUGGGCCCUAAAGCUAUUUGAUAAUAUAGUUAUGAUUUCCUAAGUCACCACUAUUUAGCCUCAGCAAAGUCAAAUGAAUAAUUUUUGAGACUUAAUUACAAAUGUCUCAGAUUUUUUUUAACGGGGAUCAAACUCAUGACUUCAUGCUUGCCAAGCAGGUGCUUGUGCUGCUGAGCUCAACACCUGACCCAAAGACCUUUUUUUUUUUUUUUUUUUUUUUUGGCUUUUUUUCAUUCAGUCCUUGCGCAGAAAUUAACAUAGCUAAUCAAGACUCCUAUCCUUUGAAACCCCUGGUUACAAGAUUGGCCUCUCGUUGGCAGUUCAUAGCUCAGGAGGAUCCCCCAUCCUUCCCUAGAUGAUGAGUGGGUCACUGUGCCUAAAUGUGUGCAAAUCCUUUACUUUGUACAGAACCCCUGCCUUUUUCCCCAGAGUUGAAGUGAAAGUCAGGAAGUGCUUAUGUGACUAGCCCCGCUUUGGCAAUACUUGGCAUUUCACAAGUAUUGUUACAGUUCACUGCUGAGGGGAUACAGUACACACCGUACAGUUCCACUGAGAGAAGAACUUGGAAGAUUGGGCCUGAUUCCUCGACUUUGCCCAAUCCACCUUUUCCUUCUGUUGAUGCCCUAUAUGAGUACAAGAAAACACUAGUCCUUUUGAGUCCUAGUAACUCUUCAAACCUCAGGGACUAUUAUUUGUCUGAGUUUUCUGGAUCUGUAUUUGUCAGUCUGAACUAACUAGUGGUGGUGGGGGUGAGGAUAUUAAAACUGAUUUACUAUAAGGAAUUGCCUCACAUUCUAUAGACUAAAAAAGUCCCAAUCAACAAAGACAGUUGAGUCUAACCAUUGUGCCAACUCGAAGUUAAACAAAAAUUCUGUUUUUAAUUAUUAUUAUUUUUGUCUUUUUCUUUUUUAUUGGUACCAGGGAUCAAACUCACGACUGCCUGCUUACAAGGCAGGUGCUUAUGCCGCUGAGCUAAAUCCCCAGCCCCUAUUAUUUGUUUUGAGACUGGGUUUUGCUAUGUUGGCCAGGCUAGCCUUGAACUUAAAGCAAUUUUUUUUAAUGUAAAAUGUUAAAUUACUAAUGAGCAACAGGUACUGUAUUCAGAUUUAAGAGACUGAGGUCCUUUGUGCCUGCCUGUGUACCAUUCGUUUGUUGAAACCUGAAAACACUAAAGAGGAGGCAACACUAAUGUGUAUUUGCAAAUGGUAAAACGACUUUUUUCUGGCUGAACAUGCUUAUUUCUUUGAUGGUUUAAGUAUUAAAAGAGUACAGGCCCUGAAUGGGGGUCCUGAGUCCAAAUAAUGAUCUUAAUCUCUUAACCUUAGUUUUACAUACAUAUUACAUGGCAAAUAAGAGUACCAACUGUACUAUGAGAGGCAAGUUUCUCCUAUAUAAUACAGUGAUACUAGCUUUUAUAGAAGUAGAAAAAUAUGUUUGAUUUAAAUAUCCAUGGACACUUCUGUGACACUACAGGCAUUUCAGGAAGCUUCUGAAAGAGCAAGUAGUUUGGAACAGGCAUCUCUUUGAAAACAAUUAUGUGAUAACUGUGAAGAAAAAUUUGAAGUUUAUAAAGAAUCCAGAAAAGAUGUAAGCUUUCCUCUACACAGAUUUAUUGAAAGUAAAAUUCUAUAUACAAAGUAACUUGGACCUGCUGCCUCAAAACAUGAUCUUUUUCUACUAAUAUCCUGAUAGGUUGGUUAAAAAGCCACUUACUCUAAAAUAAACAGAAAAAUGCCCAGUGCACA